UGGGGAAUUUUGGACAAUGGGCGCAAGCCUGAUCCAGCCAUGCCGCGUGAGUGACGAAGGCCUUAGGGUUGUAAAACUCUUUCGUCGGGGACGAUAAUGACGGUACCCGAAGAAGAAGCUCCGGCUAACUUCGUGCCAGCAGCCGCGGUAAUACGAAGGGAGCUAGCGUUGUUCGGAAUCACUGGGCGUAAAGCGCACGUAGGCGGAUAGUUAAGUCAGGGGUGAAAUCCUGGGGCUCAACCCCAGAACUGCCUUUGAUACUGGCUGUCUCGAGGUCGAGAGAGGUUGGUGGAAUUCCUAGUGUAGAGGUGAAAUUCGUAGAUAUUAGGAAGAACACCAGUGGCGAAGGCGGCCAACUGGCUCGAUACUGACGCUGAGGUGCGAAAGCGUGGGGAGCAAACNGGAUUAGAUACCCCCGUAGUCCCUGAGCGGGCUGGCAAGGCGCAU
rnacentral:rRNA from 1 species